UGACGCUGGCGGCAGGCCUACACAUGCAAGUCGAGCGGAUGAGUGGAGCUUNUUCCAUGAUUCAGCGGCGGACGGGUGAGUAAUGCCUAGGAUUCUGCCUGGUAGUGGGGGACAACGUUUCGAAAGGAACGCUAAUACCGCAUACGUCCUACGGGAGAAAGCAGGGGACCUUCGGGCCUUGCGCUAUCAGAUGAGCCUAGGUCGGAUUAGCUAGUAGGUGAGGUAAAGGCUCACCUAGGCGACGAUCCGUAACUGGUCUGAGAGGAUGAUCAGUCACACUGGAACUGAGACACGGUCCAGACUCCUACGGGAGGCAGCAGUGGGGAAUAUUGGACAAUGGGCGAAAGCCUGAUCCAGCCAUGCCGCGUGUGUGAAGAAGGUCUUCGGAUUGUAAAGCACUUUAAGUUGGGAGGAAGGGCAGUAAGUUAAUACCUUGCUGUUUUGACGUUACCAACAGAAUAAGCACCGGCUAACUUCGUGCCAGCAGCCGCGGUAAUACGAAGGGUGCAAGCGUUAAUCGGAAUUACUGGGCGUAAAGCGCGCGUAGGUGGUUCAGCAAGUUGGAGGUGAAAUCCCCGGGCUCAACCUGGGAACUGCCUCCAAAACUACUGAGCUAGAGUACAGUAGAGGGUAGUGGAAUUUCCUGUGUAGCGGUGAAAUGCGUAGAUAUAGGAAGGAACACCAGUGGCGAAGGCGACUACCUGGACUGAUACUGACACUGAGGUGCGAAAGCGUGGGGAGCAAACAGGAUUAGAUACCCUGGUAGUCCACGCCGUAAACGAUGUCGACUAGCCGUUGGAAUCCUUGAGAUUUUAGUGGCGCAGCUAACGCAUUAAGUCGACCGCCUGGGGAGUACGGCGCAAGGUUAAACUCAAAAUUGGAAUUGACGGG
rnacentral:rRNA from 1 species